CUCAGAAAUGGAAACGGGACUGGCCAUGGAGAGAACACCACAGCAUUCUCCAAAAAAGAUAAGUGAACUAACUUUUCAUACACAUUUAGAGAGGGACAGCAGUCAUUUCAAUGGCUGCAUAACACUAUAGUAUUAGGAAAACACAUUUGUAUCCCUAACACUAUAGUGUCCCUCUAUACAUGUAAUAUACAUGUAUACACAAUAAGCCUUUUUUUCAUACGUGUUUAUAACAUACAUCAAAAUGUUCUACACACACAUGCAUUAAUAUACAUGACUAAAACACAUACACACAUUAUUUCCCUUAAUGGGUGGCAGGUAUGUUCUCAGCCUAUCCCCAACCACAUGUCCUCAAACUGUCCUCAAGAGGAAGAAAGCUUGGAGAAGCAGUGUUGGGUUUCACUCAUUUAUGCUGUACAAAUACAUCCUGUUUUUACAACCAGAGCCUCCAUACUAUUACACACAUGCAGUAACACAACAACAUAUCCCUGCUUUUAAACAUACUAACACUGCAUACACUGACACACUAAUAUGAUGCUUUAGAAAAAUGAAUCCCUACAUUGACACAUACUAUGAUGCUUUACAAAAAUGAAUCCCUACAUUGACACAUACCUGCUGUACAUAAACAUGCAUCUCUACAUUAACAAACACUCAAAUGUGCCAGGUUAUACUUAUAGUCCCACUGGAAGUGUGGGUACACUACUUUGUGUAAAAUAGAGGACCUCUCAGCCAAAGAAAUAGUGCAAUUUCUGACAGAACAGAAAUAUAGCUUAUACAGCUUGAGAAGUGAGAAUUGCUUGCUCUCAGCAGGACCCAGGUAAGUGAGGCACACCAUGACAAAACAGGAUAGCACCAGUGCACUCCAGGCAUUAUAACCACUACAGCAAGCUGAUGUGAUAAUACACUGUUCAUACAUACAUACUGCCCAACAAUUCAAAUGGACAAUGAAGAACACUUUAAUUUUUGUGCCAGGGUCAGAGCUGUUCUGAGAAAUUUUAAGUGACAUUAUAAUUACUAUAUAUACAACUAAAAUGUAAUUUGUAAUAAGAACAACAUAUCUUAUUUUCACAGAUUGAUUUUUAAACACUUUUAUUGUAUUUUAAAUGCACAUUAUUGCUGCAAAGCUCCUAAACACACCAACAGUCUGGAGCUCCAGAAAAGAGGAUAGAAAAGAAGGAACAGAGAGAUUGGGGUCCAUAUAGAGCUGCCCCCCCCUAAAAAGAGACACUUGGGAGGUAUGCAUAAAUAUUUCCAUCUAUGGUUUGUUAUUUUUAUAAAACCAAUUGCUGUAAAAUGUGUGUUGAUUGACAUUGUUGUAUUUAAUAAUCUAGUUGUCAUUCCAAACUAAAAAAAUAGUUUUAUGCAUUUUUAUAAAAAGGUCCACUAACAUUCUCAACACCAGGCCCAUGAAGCCCUAAAUCUGGCCUUGUGCAUACAUGUGUGUUGAGAUAAAAAAAAAAAGUGGGAUAAAUCAAUGAAUCAGCUGUUCAAAGUGGAAUAAGGCAGGUUUCAGAAAAAAAAAAUCCCUAAACACAAUUUAUUAAGUUGCAUGUGAGGGAAUAGCCAUUUUUGAUUAUUAUGGGUUAAAUGUAUAAAUACACAGCUUGUUUAUUGUUUUUACUUGUGACUGUUUUUCUUAAAUACAGAAUUUAUAAGGAGGUAUACAGACAUAAUAUAAGUAUAUAUUACCAAUUUUAACUAUACAUUUAAGUACUUGUGAGCUACUGAGUGCCAAAAAGUUGUGCAAUGCAGUUCAAAACAAUGCUUCCCACAUCUCCCCGACACAUGAGGGUUAAAUUAUAUCAUGUUGACAUUUUUGCAAUUACAUUUACCUUCCUGGGAUUAAAAAAUAAAUACAAAUGCUGUGAAUAAAUAACAUUUCAAACACAAAUAAAUAAAUAUACACAUAAUAGGGAAUAAUCACCAAUGGGGCAAAUAUACAAAGUUGCUCAGAAACAGUUAUACACAAAAGUAAGCUAACAUUGCAGCCUAAGUAUACACAAAGGGAAAUACAUACACAAUAUGGUAAGACAUAACCAAAAAUCAUCUCAUUGAUUCACUUGAGUAAAUUCUCAAAUAUACUACUAUACAACAUUUACAUGUUAGUAUGCACAUUUCAAAAACUUUCCCCAGACACAGCUAACAUGAAUUAUGUGUUUUUUAUAACUCUUCCAGAAUGCCAUAAAAAUGUGCAAAUAAAUAUAGACAGCCGUCAUUAUUUAGGUACCCAAUCUUACAUCUCUAUAGGUUCCUUCACUAAAGUGUUUCCCCAAGCACCAUGGCCACUUCUGCUUUAAGUGUUGAUGGUGUUUGGGGGAAACGAUUAUGGUGGUAGGAGUCUGUAUGUGCAGUUUUCAGCACAUACUAAGAUAUGUUCACUUUUGUGCUGGAUACUAGUGACAUCUCCGGUACAUGUGAAAUUUGCAGUCUGGAAUUCUUUUAUGGAAUUCCAAAUGUAAAUUCUGUGCAAAACAUAUUUCCGCCUCCAGCAAGCACUGCACACUGGCAACAUACAUAUAAAGCUUCCUUUUGUCUCCCCUCCAUUAUUGUAUUUAGCCUCCCCAACUUGCUAUAUUAAUAGUGUUUUGUUUUUUUUAAAGUUAAAAUCCCCUUGAUAAAAACCCUUUAAUUUACUUUUUUAAAGGGAACUGUCACUUCCCAGGUUUGUUUAUGUUAUGCUCAUAGAGUCCCUGUAUUUGACAAAUUUGUUUUAGGUCUGAAAAAUAAAAUAAAAUUUAGAAAUCAACACUGCUGUAACAGGGUAUUUGAGAGUUAAUGACUGGAACUAAGGCCUCAAUUGAAUAAGCUUCUAAAGAUAAAUUUUUUUUUAAGUUUUUUAAAAAAUAUUAAAUUAUUUGCAAAGCUAAUCCAACAAUAUUAAAUAUAAAAAUGUAAUGUUUUUGAAUGAGCUUUUCAACU